GAUGAAGAACGUAGCGAAAUGCGAUAAGUAAUGCGAAUUGCAGAAUUCAGUGAAUCAUCGAAUCUUUGAACACACAUUGCGCCCCCUGGUAUUCCGGGGGGCAUGCCUGUUCGAGCGUCAUUUCACCACUCAAGCCUCGCUUGGUAUUGGGCAACGCGGUCCGCCGCGUGCCUCAAAUCGACCGGCUGGGUCUUCUGUCCCCUAAGCGUUGUGGAAACUAUUCGCUAAAGGGUGUUCGGGAGGCUACGCCGUAAAACAACCCCAUUUCUAAGGUUGACCUCGGAUCAGGUAGGGAUACCCGCUGAAAUUAAGCAUAUCAAUAAGCGGAGGA
rnacentral:misc_RNA from 1 species